rnacentral:rRNA from 1 species
CCUACGGGAGGCAGCAGUGGGGAAUAUUGCGCAAUGGGCGAAAGCCUGACGCAGCGACGCCGCGUGAGGGAUGAAGGUCUUCGGAUCGUAAACCUCUGUCAGCAGGGAAGAACGGUCACUGUGCUAAUCAGCAGUGAAUUGACGGUACCUGCAAAGGAAGCACCGGCUAACUCCGUGCCAGCAGCCGCGGUAAUACGGAGGGUGCGAGCGUUAAUCGGAAUUACUGGGCGUAAAGCGCUCGUAGGCGGUAUGUCAAGUCAAGGGUGAAAUCCCCGCGCUCAACGUGGGAACUGCCUUUGAAACUGGCAAACUGGAGUGUGUGAGAGGAUAGUUGAAUUCCAGGUGUAGGAGUGAAAGCCGUAGAUAUCUGGAGGAACAUCAGUGGCGAAGGCGACUAUCUGGCACAUAACUGACGCUGAGGAGCGAAAGCGUGGGUAGCAAACAGGAUUAGAUACCCCGGUAGUC